rnacentral:rRNA from 1 species
GUAGUCCACGCCGUAAACGAUGAAUGCUAGGUGUUAGGGGUUUCGAUGCCCUUGGUGCCGAAGUUAACACAUUAAGCAUUCCGCCUGGGGAGUACGGUCGCAAGACUGAAACUCAAAGGAAUUGACGGGGACCCGCACAAGCAGUGGAGUAUGUGGUUUAAUUCGAAGCAACGCGAAGAACCUUACCAGGUCUUGACAUCCCUUUGAAAGCUCUAGAGAUAGAGUCGGCCUUCGGGACAGAGGAGACAGGUGGUGCAUGGUUGUCGUCAGCUCGUGUCGUGAGAUGUUGGGUUAAGUCCCGCAACGAGCGCAACCCUUGAUCUUAGUUGCCAGCAUGUAAUGGUGGGCUC